CAGUAGCCGCGGGAAUACAGAGGGUGCGAGCGUUAAUCGGAUUUACUGGGCGUAAAGCGUGCGUAGGCGGCUUUUUAAGUCGGAUGUGAAAUCCCUGAGCUUAACUUCGGAAUUGCAUUCGAUACUGGGAAGCUAGAGUAUGGGAGAGGAUGGUAGAAUUCCAGGUGUAGCGGUGAAAUGCGUAGAGAUCUGGAGGAAUACCGAUGGCGAAGGCAGCCAUCUGGCCUAAUACUGACGCUGAGGUACGAAAGCAUGGGGAGCAAACAGGAUUAGAUACCCGAGUAGUCCCUGUCUCUUAUAC
rnacentral:rRNA from 1 species